CCCUUUGAUCCCCAUUUCCAUGACUAAUCAAAUUAUGAAAAGCCCUUCAAGUUGUUUGGAGAGAAGAGUGCUUAUGGGACCUGUAUGGCUUUUAGAAACAAAGGGUCAGACAAAUUGCAUCAACUUCCCCUCUUUCCCUGGUCCAUUUUUGCAGGUUUUUGAGCUUCCUCUGGGGGCUUCAUGAAUGCUACAUGUCUAGUGAGUGUUGCACAAAAUAGUAGGGUCUAAUAAGGCCAAAGCGUGUGUUUAUUUCUACUUUCUAGGCAUGCACUGCAUGUACCACAAGGCGGGGGAGUAUAUUCUUCACCAAGUGCCAAAACUACAGCUUUAUGCCAUCUGCAUCCCUUUGGACCUUUAUGGGAAUGUGAUGGUGCCAUUAAUAGAAAUCAUUAAGCAAGGCUGAAGAAUGGUUUAUGAAAGGGAAGAUGAUGAAUCUGAUUUUG